GCAGGUGGAGAGGCGGUUACCCCUCCGCCGCGGGUGCACGGUUGGGAAGGUGCAGGGGGAGGGGGCGGAGGGGAUAAAGAUGGAGUAGCGGUCGGAAGCAACGCGGGUGUCGAUGGUGAGAUAGUCAGAUAGGGCAACCAAGAUGAGCCGCAGUCGUGCCGUGGACGGAAGGUUCAAGUAGGCGGUACCCGCUGAGUAGGAGCCGAAGGAUGUAGUCUUACCACGUGGUAGACUAUCUCUUCACGUAAACGAAGUUGGAGUUGUUCCUCCCCACGUACCUCCGGGACCUCUUCGUACGGUUCUAGUUGGGCCAGCAGUGACGGUGACACACCUUUCUCGACCUCUUCCUCUUGUUCCUCAAGAAGCUCAGAAUGUUGUCCCUGGCGCACCUCGCCUUGUAGCUCCGCCGCUGCUACCUCGCCUAGGUCUUCUACGAGAGGCUGCGCCGACGGAGGUUCUGGAGGCUGCUGCUGCUCCCGAUCUUCCGACGACGAAUACAGGUUCGAGUACGCGUACGUAGUGGAAGGUCGAUUAAUUAACAUACUUAUAGUACAGAAGGCAAUUAACCUAGGUAAUACAGAUCCUCCUAGCUUAAAUAAUUAACGUGGAUCGAGUAUUGUCUGGCCAUCGAACUUUGGUACGUACGUACGUCAUGCUAGCUGAUGUUCCUGACCGUUCGUUCGUAAAAUCACAAACACACCUGCACAUGUAUAUGUUUAGUGACGUACCUUAUAAGUUCUCCUGGGAUGCAUGCCGGGGCCCAGAAGUCCACGGUCGAGAUUAGAAUAGUGACGACUAGGAAAGCGCUGGUGCACCGUUGCUCAUUCUCAUAUACGCGGUCACCACCGCAGAUGUGCGGCUAGCUAGUAAAUAAAUAAAAAACAGUACCAAGCUUUUUAUAUAUGUUUUUCCAAUAAGAGGUGUACUAAGUCUCAUUCUUUGCCUUUUUCUAUCCGACGUAUAUAUCUCUUACUUGACAGAGAAUUAACAGAAAUUUGCUUCUCGGUCGGGAUUCUCUGCUCUCGUC
rnacentral:rRNA from 1 species